rnacentral:misc_RNA from 1 species
GGAGCAGGCUACCUCUUCUUCGGUGAUGCACUCAUCCCAUACAGACGGGUUACUUGGGCACGAAUGCAACCCCGCCGCAACAACGAGCACUCUUACUACUCCCCGGGGCCGGCCAACCUUGCUCUCCAAAACCAGAAUCUGCAAGUCAGGAUGCAAGUCGCUUUUGACAGCGGAAGCUCAUAUACAUACUUCGCUAACAAGCCAUACGAGGCCUUUCUCUCUGCAGUGAAACAAAGAAUCUCCAGAGGCCCGCUAAAAGAGACUCAAGACAAGGACCUCCCCGUAUGCUGGAAAGGCACGAGGCCAUUCAAGUCUAUGGACGAUGCCAAGAACUACUUUAGCCCGUUGAUUCUUACCUUUGCAAAUCCAAAGGGAGCUCAGUUCGAAAU